UACGUAGGGGGCGAGCGUUGUCCGGAUUUAUUGGGCGUAAAGAGCUCGUAGGCGGUUCGAUAAGUCGGACGUGAAAUCUCCACGCUCAACGUGGAGGGGCCGUUCGAUACUGUCGUGACUCGAGUCCGGUAGGGGAGUGUGGAAUUCCCGGUGUAGCGGUGAAAUGCGCAGAGAUCGGGAGGAACACCCGUAGCGAAGGCGGCACUCUGGGCCGGUACUGACGCUGAUACGCGAAAGCGUGGGGAGCAAACAGG
rnacentral:rRNA from 1 species